rnacentral:sRNA from 2 species
GCUGCCGCAAAAUCGGUAGCCGGGAUUUGCAGCCCGUGUAAUCUGAAGGCGACACCAGACGCGCCUAGCGUCUUUUUU